AGACGUCUCUCGCCACACGUUUUGCACAAGAUACUUUUGGAAAACAGUAUAAACAGACAAUCGGGCUGGACUUCUUCCUUAAGAGAAUCACUCUGCCAGGUUUGGGACAUUGAAGGACAAACCAUCGGAGGAAAGAUGCUCGACAAGUACAUAUACAGAGCACAGGGCAUCCUCCUGGUUUAUGACAUCACUAAUUCUCAGAGUUUUGAGAAUCUUGAAGACUGGCUGAAC